UCAGUAGUGUAAUUGGUUCUUCACCAAUUGGUACACUGUACAAGGGAACAUUGUCCAGUGGCAUUGAAAUAGCUGUGGCCUCAGUUGCAGUAACAUCUUCCAAGGAUUGGCCUAAGCAUUUGGAAGUUCAAUUUAGGAAGAAGAUUGAGACAUUAUCAAAAGUGAAUCACAAGAAUUUUAUCAACCUUUUUGGAUAUUGUGAGGAGGAGGAUAUUUUACUUCAUUUCUCUUCUCUUCAAUUCCUACUGGAGUCUGUAACAACUCUGCCCGAUAACCAAGGGACUGAUACAAACGCCAUAAUUAGUUUCCAAAGAGCAGCCCAUUUUGCAAUUGCUAAUGCCAAGAACAUCAAAUUGUUUGAACGUGUUGAUUUGUGUAUUAUCUAUGAUAGCUUUGAGGAGACACAACCAAACUUCACUUCUGGAGAUCAUAUGAAGAUCCAACCUACUCUCAUACCCUCCUAACUCUGACAGAAUGAAACUCCAUGGUUAUGCAAUUAGCUUUCCAACAGGCAACCUUGAGCUUAAAAUCUUGAGUUGACCAGAGAGGAAGGGAAGAGAACCAUGAGUUGAGAGAAUCGGGGUUAGUCAAAUCGGAUGAAUUGGGAGGAAACGGUCGGAGGGAGAACGAGGCAAAGAGGAUGGGAGAUGGGUUUGUGGUCUGAGUAUGAUUUGAAAGAUGGUAGAGGAUGAAGGAGGGAUAAGCCCAGUUGGUGGGUUAACAAGGAACUUGUGCGGCGAUGAAGUUUGGACCUUGAAUGCUAUUGGGGUAGUGGCGGAAAGAGACCUGAGGCGGACGUUGGCUCGGCAUUUGGAAUUGAGCAUAAAGUCUAGACGAACCUCUGAGUCU